AGUGCCUCUGAAAUAAUCCCAUUUGUAACCCUAAAUGGUUAUAUGAUGGUAGGCCUCAGAGGUAGAUCGUAUUGUAGCUAGACGCGACAGAAUAUACGACACGUGUAUAGCCUGUGUUAAUGUAUGCUUGCACAUUUUU
rnacentral:snoRNA from 1 species